rnacentral:rRNA from 1 species
GGGUAGUUUGACUGGGGCGGUCUCCUCCCAAAGAGUAACGGAGGAGCACGAAGGUGGGCUAAUCACGGUUGGACAUCGUGAGGUUAGUGCAAUGGCAUAAGCCCGCUUAACUGCGAGAAUGACGGUUCGAGCAGGUGCGAAAGCAGGUCAUAGUGAUCCGGUGGUUCUGUAUGGAAGGGCCAUCGCUCAACGGAUAAAAGGUACUCCGGGGAUAACAGGCUGAUACCGCCCAAGAGUUCAUAUCGACGGCGGUGUUUGGCACCUCGAUGUCGGCUCAUCACAUCCUGGGGCUGAAGUCGGUCCCAAGGGUAUGGCUGUUCGCCAUUUAAAGUGGUACGCGAGCUGGGUUUAGAACGUCGUGAGACAGUUCGGUCCCUAUCUGCCGUGGGCGUUGGAAGAUUGAAGGGGGCUGCUCCUAGUACGAGAGGACCGGAGUGGACGAACCUCUGGUGUUCGGGUUGUGUCGCCAGACGCAUUGCCCGGUAGCUAAGUUCGGAAUUGAUAAGCGCUGAAAGCAUCUAAGCGCGAAGCGAGCCCUGAGAUGAGUCUUCCCUGAUACUUUAAGUA